ACUGUGCAAAGGUAGCAUAAUCACUAGUUUUUUAAUUGAAAGCUUGAAUGAAUGGUUGGACGAGGCACUAGCUGUUUCAUAUUAAAUAUUAGAAUUUUAUUUUUUGGUAAAAAAGCCUAAAUUUUUUUGAAAGACGAGAAGACCCUAUAGAUCUUUAUAAUUUUACUGUUAUUAUCUAUUAAGAUUUAUUUAGUUAAUAUUGUUUAAUUUAUUUUGUUGGGGUGAUAUAGAAAUUUAUUUAACUUUCUAAAUUUUUUAUACAUUUAUUUAUGUUUUUAUUUGAUCCUUUAUUUAAGAUUGAAAAAUUAAGUUACCUUAGGGAUAACAGCGUAAUUUUUUCGGAGAGUUCAUAUCGAUGNNNNNGAUUGCGACCUCGAUGUUGGAUUAA
rnacentral:rRNA from 1 species